rnacentral:piRNA from 1 species
UCAAAGAAGCAGAGGUCUGGAUGUGCCAGU